AUGUCACAUGCUUACACACCUUUUCAUGUGCUUACAUGUGUUUACACAAACUUACGUGUGUUUACACAGGCUAAUGCACAGUUAAAUAGGCUUACAUGUGCUUGCACGUGUUUACACACGCUUACACACAUUUACAUGGGCUUACACGUCCUAACAUGUGCUUACAUGCUUGUACACAUGCACAGGCUAACCUAUGCUUUCCUGUGCUUGCAUGUCUUUACACUUGCUUACAUGCGCUUGCACGCUCUUACACUUGCUUACACAUCGUUGAGAUUGCUGGCCGAUCUUUACACACGUUUACACUUGCUUGAACGCGCUUGCACGCUCUUACACGCUCUUGCACGCUGUUACACUUGCUUACACAUCGUUGAGCUUGCUGGCCGAUCUUUACACACGUUUACACUUGCUUGCACGCGCUUGCACGCUCUUACACGCUCUUGCACUUGCUUACACAUCGUUGAGCUUGCUGGCCGAUCUUUACACACGUUUACACUUGCUUACACACAUUUACACGCUCUUACACGCAUUUAUACUUCCUUACACAUGUUUAUGCUCUCUAACAUGUGCAUACACGAGUUUAUACGCAUUUUUGUGCUAACACAUGCUUGCAGAUGCUUAAAUGCAUUUACACCACAAGUCUACAUGCUUACAAGCAUAUGCAAACGUGAAAAUGCAUGUCAGUGUGUGUAAGCACAUGUAAACACGUGUUAGCACAUGCAAGGACAUGCAAGCUCCUACCAAUUGCCAUGCUUGGUUAAAUGCAUCUUCUGAGUGUAAUUUCAUGAAAUUUAAAGAGGCUAAUUUUUAAAUUGACAUUUAAUUCUGUAAUUGCAGUAUCUAUAUUCCCCAUGAUGAAUCAGAGUUAUUUCAGGCAGUUUUGCCUGAAAGUGCUCGUGACGGCUCUGCUGUGUGACACAGCCAUGGGGCUGGCCCUGCAGCAGGUCAGCAACACUUGACCUACAGAUUCACAGCCAACUCCCACAACAAGUGCGAUGUCCAACAAGUAUUUCAUCUUGCAGAGUACAUAAAUCACUUUUGUCCACAGCAAACAAAAUCCCAGAGGCAUGUGCAGAGCAGGCAGGCUCCUGAGCUUUCUCUUUCCAGCAACCUCAUUUGGAGGCCAUCAGUGGCCUGAGCUGCCCUGCUGUCACUUUCAAAGGGAGAUGCAUCCAGGCUGGACAGACUGGCUGGAUUCUCAUGGAAGCCAGCUAAGCUGGUUGCUCUCAGUGCUUUUUCCCUAUUUCACUGAAUCGUAUAACCUGAAAAAUACCUGCACAACAGAUUUAAGUAACAUCACAUUGUUUGCAAUGCAUUUCAGAGUUCAUGACAACACCAAGAAAUGAUAAGGAAAAGGAUCUAAAGCUAGAUGCUAAUGAAAAAAUAAAUCAGUAACUUCUGGCUGGAUAAAAACA
rnacentral:lncRNA from 1 species